rnacentral:rRNA from 1 species
AUUGAACGCUGGCGGCAUGCCUUACACAUGCAAGUCGAACGGCAGCAUGAUCUAGCUUGCUAGAUUGAUGGCGAGUGGCGAACGGGUGAGUAAUACAUCGGAACGUGCCCUGUAGUGGGGGAUAACUAGUCGAAAGAUUAGCUAAUACCGCAUACGACCUGAGGGUGAAAGUGGGGGACCGCAAGGCCUCAUGCUAUAGGAGCGGCCGAUGUCUGAUUAGCUAGUUGGUGAGGUAAAGGCUCACCAAGGCGACGAUCAGUAGCUGGUCUGAGAGGACGAUCAGCCACACUGGCACUGAGACACGGCCCAGACUCCUACGGGAGGCCGCAGUGGGGAAUUUUGGACAAUGGGCGAAUGCCUGAUCCAGCAAUGCCGCGUGUGUGAAGAAGGCCUUCGGGUUGUAAAGCACUUUUGUCCGGAAAGAAAUGGCUCUGGUUAAUACCUGGGGUCGAUGACGGUACCGGAAGAAUAAGGACCGGCUAACUACGUG